UUUUUUUUUAAAUGUAGAUCACUCUCCUUAAUACUUCCGCAAUCACACACCCAUAUACGUAUAUAUGAGCACGUGCAAACACAUAAUUCUCACUAUGAUAGUACUAAAACAAUUCAAUCGCUAUAUACACAAAGUUUGCUCGGUUUUGGAUAGAUCAGUUCAGAAGGCGAGCGGAAAGAAAAUGAAUCCACACUUGAAGGGAACGGCGUUGGAAUUCCGUCAAAGAACGUAAUGUUGACCAGGUCCAGGAUACAGAUUAACUUUACGCUGUCCGACGAAAAAUCGCGGGAUACGCACGACCACAUUUAUCGCUGUAUACGCCGCUCUUCGACCGACGAGCCGUGGAAUGAAAGACACCGAGGAUAUAUCGGUCCUGGCCCGAUCUCUCUACUCGUACCAAUUUACAAAUAUACAAAAAAAAAA